UUUGGUUUAGGGUUUAAGAUUUGAUUAGGAUUUGAUUUAGGAUUUAGAGUUUGAUUAGGAUUUGAUUUAAGAUUAUGAUUUGGUCAGAAUUUGAUUUAAGAUUUACGAUUUGAUUAGGAUUUGAUUUAAGAUUUAAGGUUUGGUUAGAGUUUGGUUAGGAUUUGAUUUAGGAUUAGGAUUUGGUUAGGAUUUGAUUUAGGAUUUAAGAUUUUGUUAGGAUUUGAUUUAGAAUUAGAUUUUGGUUAGGCUUUGAUUUAUGAUUAAGAUUUGAUUAGGAUUUGAUUUGGAAUUUAGGGUUUUAUUAGGAUUUAUUUAAGAUUUAAGAUUUUAUUAGU
rnacentral:lncRNA from 1 species